rnacentral:rRNA from 1 species
GACAGAGGUGGCAAGCGUUGUUCGGAUUUACUGGGCGUAAAGGGUGCGUAGGCGGUUGUUUAAGUCUGUCGUGAAAUCCCCGGGCUCAACCUGGGAAUGGCGAUGGAUACUGGGCAGCUAGAGUGUGUCAGAGGAUGGUGGAAUUCCCGGUGUAGCGGUGAAAUGCGUAGAGAUCGGGAGGAACAUCAGUGGCGAAGGCGGCCAUCUGGGACAACACUGACGCUGAAGCACGAAAGCGUGGGGAGCAAACAGG